UACGAAGGGGGCUAGCGUUGCUCGGAAUCACUGGGCGUAAAGGGUGCGUAGGCGGGUCUUUAAGUCAGGGGUGAAAUCCUGGAGCUCAACUCCAGAACUGCCUUUGAUACUGAGGAUCUUGAGUUCGGGAGAGGUGAGUGGAACUGCGAGUGUAGAGGUGAAAUUCGUAGAUAUUCGGAAGAACACCAGUGGCGAAGGCGGCUCACUGGUCCGGUACUGACGCUGAGGUGCGAAAGCGUGGGGAGCAAACAGGAGU
rnacentral:rRNA from 1 species